rnacentral:misc_RNA from 1 species
CGAGUACAGUUAGUCAGAGGGACAAUAGUAUAUAGUCGACAUCGCGCUGACGAUCCUCUAAAAUGGCCGAUGUUGAUGACCCGAUUGAAAUAAGUGAUGAUUCAGCCAGUAGUGAUGAAGGCAUUGUGAAAGAAAAGAAAAAGAAGCAUAAACACAAGAAACAUAAGAAGAAACAUUCCACCAGCGACAAACAUAAACACAAACACAAGCGGAAGCGUCACAAACACGACAAAGGAGACGGAGAUGAGAAGGACAAGAAGAAGCCAGGGAAGCUUGAGGAGAGUGAUCUGGAAAGGCUGGAAGCAGCACGGGCAGCAUUAAGAGCUGAACUAAAUGGGGACAGCGGUAAUGCUAUUGGUCUGGUUGCUCAGGGAUAUGGUACCGACUCUGAGGAGGAAGGAGAAAUAAAAGACUUGAGUUACACAGAGGAGCCAGGGUCGACAGGAAAACGGGCAGCGAAAGAAAGAUCUUCUAGCAAAGCAGAUGCAAAGGAUGAUAUAUUGGAUUUGAUUCGUGAAGCUAGAGAAUCACAAAGGCAUCAUCAACGUGGGGAGCGAGGUCAUGGUCGUGAUCAGAAGAAUGGGGUCAAGGAACGAGGGUCAAGGUCACCAAGUCUGACUGAGUUUGCUGAUACGUUACUCGACUCAGUUGAGGUGGGCUCCAAUAAGAGAAGGAGUUCCCCUCACAGACGAAGAGAUGGUUCUCGAGAUCGGGAACGGAGAUCUAAACGUUCUACCUCACCCUCACGCCAGCAUUCCUCCCGCGAUGAGAGACGGGACCGAGAGGGUGACAGACGAAGGGAUGAAGAAAAGAGGGCUGAAGACAGAAGAAGAGACGAAGAAAGGCGACGUGAGGAAGAUCAGCGGAGGGAAGAAGAGCGGCGGAGGGAGGUGGAGCGAAGACGGGAUAGGGAGAAGAGGGAGGAAGAACGACAUCGAAGGCUGGAAGAUGAGCGGCGUGACAGAAGGCAGGAACUUGACAGACGGAGAGAGGAUGACAGAAGGAUGAGACAUAGAAACGGGUCCAGGAGCCCCUUCAGACGGCGAGACGACCGUCGGGAUCGCAGCAGGUCUCGGGACAGGAGACGCCGCCGCGGAGAUUAUUAUUCGAAACCAACUGACAAGUUUAAGGACAGUCUCUCAGAAGGCAUGACAGUGCAGCAUGAAUCGUCUGAUGGUGAAGAACUGGACGUGGAUAUCCCCCAGGACGAGUCUGACGAGGAUGCAGAGAUAGCCAUGAGGAGGAAGAUGAGGAGAGCUCUCGUUAUGCGUUUGGGAGCAGAGUCGGACAUCCCUGGGCUAGAUGUUGCAGGUGACGAGUCUACUCCACCACCAGAAGACAAGGCUGAGGGGCAACGUGGGCACGGAAGCGACUCCUCCUCCUCGUCUGGCUUGGACAGCGAUGACGAUGAUGAGAUGGCCGACCAGGUACUGAGAGACUUGGAGGAAGAGUCGCAGGACUUCGAGAAGUCGAUGGAUGAGAAGAGGAGUGCGCUACGAGACAGCAUUACUAGUGAAAAUGGUGACAAGAAGAAGAAAUCCAAUGGCACAGCGGACAUGUUUGCUGAAGACAAUGACAUGUUCAGUGAAACCUACUCUAGUCCCGGGUUUGUGCGUCCUGUAGGCGGUGUCCAUGACAACCCCAACUUGAUGGACAACUGGGACGAUGCAGAGGGCUACUAUCGUGUUCGUAUCAGCGAGACCCUGGACAAGCGGUACAAUGUGUACGGCUACACUGGCCAGGGGGUGUUCAGUAAUGUGGUGAGGGGCCGUGAUGCUGCCCGCGGGACCCAGGAUGUUGCCAUCAAGAUCAUCCGAAACAAUGAGAUGAUGCACAAGACCGGCUUGAAAGAGCUUGAGUUUCUGAGGAAACUGAACGAUGCCGACCCCGAUGACAAAUUCCACUGUCUCCGACUGUAUCGACACUUCUUCCACAAGAACCAUCUUUGUCUUGUGUUUGAAUCUCUCAGCAUGAACCUGCGUGAGGUUCUCAAGAAGUAUGGCAAGGACAUCGGCCUGCACAUCAAGGCGGUGCGCUCCUACAGCCAACAACUCUUCCUGGCUCUCAAGUUGCUCAAGAGAUGCAGCAUUCUGCAUGCUGAUAUUAAGCCCGACAACAUCUUGGUAAAUGAAUCCAAACUAGUGCUGAAAUUGUGUGACUUCGGCUCAGCUUCUCACGUGUCCGAGAAUGACAUCACGCCAUACCUCGUCAGUCGGUUCUACAGAGCUCCAGAGAUCAUCAUCGGCAUGGGUUACGACCACGCCAUCGACAUGUGGUCAGUAGGCUGCACCAUCUACGAGCUGUACACAGGCAAGAUCUUAUUCCCGGGCAACUCCAACAAUGAGAUGCUCAAGUUUGUCAUGGACGUGAAAGGUAAAAUGCCCAAUAAGAUGAUUCGCAAGGGCAUGUUUAAGGAACAGCACUUCGACGGCAACUACAACUUCCUGUACCACGAGGUGGAUAAAGUCACACAGAGGGAGAAGGUCACCGUGCUGAGCAAUAUCAACCCUAACAAGGACCUAUUGGCGGAGAUGGUUGGAUACCAGAGGCUACCGGACGACCAGCUGCGCAAAGUUGCUCAACUCAAAGACUUGUUGGAACGGACAAUAAUGCUUGAUCCCUCCAAGAGGUUAUCAAUAAACCAAGCGCUCACCCAUCACUUCAUUCAGGAAAAGCUGUAGAUUUCCUGUGACAACGCAAACCAAAAACAUAGACUGAUUUUUUACAGGAACUUUAUCAUUGAACCAGCUUUUGUUUUUGUAUGUACAUAUAUUGUAGGAUUGUAUUGGCUUUGAUUUUGUUGCUAAAAGUUGGUUAAUUUUAUAACACUUUGAGUUAAGUAAUGUUUAACUAUUGGGAUUUAAAUGACGUUGUCAAGAAAUAUCCUGAGUUCUGUAACUUGCAAGAACGUCUGAUGUUGACAUGCUACAUGAUGGUACAAAGUUUUGACAAGUGAAUCAGAUCGACCCCAAUGGGCCUCUCAAUCUGGUAGAUUACGUUUUUCUUUUUAUGGGGUAAAUGAUUUUGAAAAGGCAACAAUUAAUGUAUGUUUUUGCCCAGAUGUUGGAACGUGCAGUAUUGGUAUAUAUACAUUUUGUUUGUCCAUAUGAACAUAGAGCUCUGUUUGAAUAUGGUGUUCUUAUUUAAUCCGCCUUUGUUUCAGAUGUUUGCAGUGGAUGGUUAGGGUUGUGUUAUGCCACCAUCCCUGUCUGAUAAGUGAACAGCCAGAUAAGUGGAUUUCCUUUAUCCAGUCAAUCUGUACGGUAGAAAUAGGAUCUGAAGCUUCUCUACGUUUACAUGUUAUUGUCAUAUGCACUGGUUUGUAACAGGGCUGUAUUUUCCUCCCUUGUGUUUUUAUAGUUUUGACAUAUUUUUAAAGAACACCAUUUUGACAUACAAUCAUAGAGCAGCUCUUGGCAGGGUAUGUUGAAACACGUCCAAGUUAGAAUAUAGAAUAAUUCUGAAAGGGAAACUUUUGUUGAACAGGUUGAAAGCUGUAAUUAAAAUUCAGUCCAGCUGUUUGUAAUGUCGAGCAAAUAUUUCUGUUUUCUCAAAGUUAUCUUAAUCAUACAACACAUAAGACUGAGAAAGCUAUUUGGGGAUUUUGGGACAUCUGCGUAUCAAUUACCAAUUUGAAACCACAUGGAAUUACAGCGAAUAAGUUAGAAUGGGUUUUGAUUAUUUAUUUAAUGAUCAAGCAGAUAUUGGAAUAUGUAACUACAUUAAAAGUAGUUUGUGCUUGGUGACCUCAUUUCCGUAUUUAUUGGAUGUUGACACCAAGUUUAUCAGAUUAGGUCGAUAACACUUUCCAUAAUGAUGAUAGGCAGUAAGCAUCUGUGGACAAUGUUUUAAUACUCACCUACAAAAGAAACACGAAUACCAUACAUGUUGGUUAAUAUAUGAUGAAUUACUCAUAUUCAAGAGAUAUUAGAUUUGUUCAACGUACAAAUGAAUAUACUGUUAUGUUGUGUGAACCGAUGCUCAUGAAAGCAUCAUGUGACGUCAUAGAUCCAUAACUUGAGAUGCACUAUUUCUCUCGUGCAGGAUUAGCGUGUAAAUUUUGGAAAUCACUUGUGGCACAUCGUGAUAAGAAUAAAGACACUCUGUGGUAACAGAGUUGUUAGUUUGGUCAUCAAGUGGUACACACUGGAAACAUCUAUUCAUAACGUACAAACUUCUCUAUAUGUUUCUAUGGUUCGUGUUUCUUUUGGUGGUGAGUAUAGAAAGGUAGAACAUACUUUUGGUGGAAACAUGACUUAUCGCAUAUCAUGCAUUAUUGGACCACUUAUUUCAAUGGUUCGUAGGUUAUCCUUUCAGAGAUGACUUCUGGUAGGAUUUCAGUUUUUGAGUUUUACAGUAUUUUAUUUGUUUUUGACUGCAGAAGCAGUAAGAGCAGCCAUACAUAGGAGACGGUUUGUGGGAACUGUUGUUCAGCCGGUUCCUUUUUAAAGCAUGAAUGUCUGACACAGAGGUUCACACUGAUAUAUCAUGUAUUUUUUGUUAUAUUUGCAAGGAAAAUGGGUCCAUAUUUUGCUGAUUAUGAAGUUAAAUUUUUUUUUUUUUAUAAAAUGAACCCCCAAUAUAAACAAUUGAUCAGCCCUAAAAUGAAACGGCCCGGACUAAUUCAUACUUGCUUUAUUGAUUUUACUUGCCUUAACCGAUAUUCCAUGAUCAGAAUUCCAAUCUCACUUUCAGAAAAAAAUAUCUGUCAUUUGAAUCAUUACGUAAGAUGAGCAACCAGUUUUUCAAAGCCUUGAAAAUACAAUUUUUUAAAAUAAAAAUAAACUAUUAAGAAGCUGAGGUUUGAAAAGAGCAUGCACUAUUUUAACUUUUGUACUUUUUGAAACAUUUGCAGGAUUAUCCGUGAAAGGAGGGGGGAAAUAGUUUGGCUUUUGUACAUAUUUUCCAUGGACAUUGUGAUACAUCAUCAAUAGAAACACAAAUGUAUCCUUAAAAGAUUGUGUAUUCCCUUCUGUGACACACAUGUAACUAUGGAUACCAUAGUGAUGUUCUGCAUGUAAUCAUGGUUACCAUGGUGACUGUAUGAAUGUUUGUUUCUUUAUACAGGACCUACCAUCUCUGGAUGAUUUGUCAAUUAAAGACUUAAGCUGCUUUCAUAAAGUGGUAAUAAUUUUGUUUUUAUGUUUUUUCUUGCCUUGUGACACUUCCUCUGAUAUUCAUGUUGACUUUAGGAGGAAAUGGUACCUUUGUUUAACACUAAGAUGCUCUGCAUCCAAACAGUUCAAUAAGUGGUGCAAGGCAAGUCAUUCUUGUUGCUGUCUGUGACAAAAUGACAAAUCUCACAUUUGCAGAGACAUCGUUAAAUAUGUGUUCUGACUUUGUAAAUGUGAAUGAAUAUAAGUUUUUGAAAGGUUUGAAUUUGUAAUGUAUAAUAAAUACAGUGGAAUCAUGGGAUUUACCUUCAUUCCUAUUUUGUAGUCCAUAUAUCAUUAGGCCUUAUGUUAUUGUCAGUUGGUUUACAAGGCCUGUCAAUAAGAAAAACCGGACAUUGGAAGGAAAAUAAAAUGACUUCUGACAAACAAAUUUUAGGCCAACUGUUUUACAAGUAGGUGAAAUGAAAAAACCCACCAGAUUUCAUCACCUCAUUUUGUAAGAAAUGGUGAAUAUGUAUAAAAAUCUUUAUUCUAACAAAAAAAACACUAUUGUCUUUUGGUAUCGUUUUGUAACUGUAGUUUUAAUGGUGUGACCUGUUAGUCUGGGUCUUUUUUACUAAUAGCAAUGCUUAUCUGGAAGUUUGAAUUAAAAAAAACAUAUUCGACCACAUGUACAUUGAAGUUUCGGCCAAAAUAAUUGUAAACCAACUAGUAAAUGAUGAAAGGCCUAACAGACUUACCUGGAAGUUCUUAGAACUAAAUUCUAAUUGUUUUGAUUUCCUUUCGUUACCACUGCAUUGGCGGAGAUUGACCCCUGACAGGAUGAGUGUCAAGGUCAUCAGUCAACCAAUCACAGAACUCGAUACAGUUGGGGAGCUGAGGAAGUCUUCAGUUUUGAGUAAUGAUAAGUAGUGCCCGAUAUUUACUACCGUGAGUGACGUUUGAGAUGCCUGUUGUCACAAUAGGUGAUAAAUGUACCACUGUGUGUAUUGCAUAGAAUGAAGCGUUCACUGCCCUAGUUAUGGGGUUAAACUGUACUUAUCAAGUGUCAAUAAUUCUUGUAAUAUAUUUAAAACAUAUUUAAUUAAUUUGACAAAUAUUCAAAAAUAGUUUUCAAAGUGACUUUUUUAUAUUCACACAUCUAAUAAUCAGCUGGUAACCAAAAACUGAAAACUGUAUUUUGUGUUCAAAAGAAUGUUGAUCUUUACUAUCAAAUCUGACUUGCCAAAUGUUAAACAUUUGAGGAAAUUGUAAAAUAUUGUGAACGCUCUUGUAACCUUGUUCAUCUUCACACAGGGGCGGUCGGGUAGCAUAGUGGUUAAAGCGUUCGCUCGUCACGCCGAAGACCCGGGUUCGAUUCCCGACAUGGGUACAAUGUGUGAAGCCCAUUUCUGGUGUCCCCCGCCGUGAUAUUGCUGGAAUAUUGCUAAAAGCGGCGUAAAACCAUACUCACUCACUCAUCUUCACACAUUUAUUUGUCUGCACCACAGGGCGGUACUCACAUGUAUUUAUUGGACAAGUAACAAAACACUAGAUGAGUCCUUGGUUUCUGAAAGAUAUCCCGACUCAAUUCUGACACCUACUGAGGUUUGCUACAGUAUUCAAGAUAGAUGUAGCAUUUACUAGUUGCUCUUGACUACUCCAUGGGAAGAUCAGCUAUAUUAUUCGGGAUAGAUGCAGCAUUUACUAGUUAUUCUUGACUAGUCCAUGGAUAGAUGUAGCAUUUACUAGUUAUUCUUGACUAGUCCAUGGAUAGGUGCAGCAUUUACUAGUUAUUCUUGACUAGUCCAUGGAUAGAUGCAGCAUUUACUAGUUAUUCUUGACUAGUCCAUGGAUAGGUGCAGCAUUUACUAGUUAUUCUUGACUAGUCCAUGGAUAGAUGCAGCAUUUACUAGUUAUUCUUGACUAGUCCAUGGAUAGAUGCAGCAUUUACUAGUAAUUCUUGACUAGUCUAUGGUAAAGCUUGCUACCAUAUUUCUGAUAUAGCCAUUACCUGUUAAUGUUGACUAGUCUAUGGGAGGAUCAGCUACAGGGAUUUGAACCAAAUAGUGUCUUGCUAAGUGACCAAUCUGGCCCAAUGUGAAGACACAGUACAGUCAAUGAGGAACGUUUGUAAAAGGCAGACUUUGGAUCGACUACUUAUGACAAAGGUUUUGACAAGCUCUUAAGUCCUUAUUGCAGAUUAUACUACAGCCCGGGGACCUGCUUUUCACUCAUUGUAUUCCACCGAAAAUGUACUAAACAAAUUAUUUUCAUUUCUAGGUACAGUCUUGGAGGAGGCAGCGGUGGAGCUCUUUAUAAGGUAGGCCACUUUUCUUUCUUCAUUACAUACAAUGAUUCUUCAAUCAAGUUCCAUCACUGUUGGCCAUGUUGGGCAUCAUGUGAUCCUAUAAUCAGCCAAUGAGCAUAUGGGUGUCUGUCAUGUGACCAGGAAGUGUCAGGUGUCAUGUGAUUUCAACAUCAACAAGUAAGGAUGAGAUGCUUCUUCAUUGUGUCAGCUUCCACCAGCCUGGUGGGAGGAGUCAGCUGUCAUGUGACCAGCCAGCCAACCAAUGAGUCCAAAGAAGACAAUGAAACUGUUCAAGUUGUAUAUCAUUUGAGGUUCUGGUUACUAUAUUACGUUAGCUGCCGUUUGUAACAUUUUGUACAUUGAAUUGUUUAUGGCCUGCCAAUAAUUAGGUCAUAUCAACACCAUAUCAGUUUGUUUGUAGCCAGGCUACCUUUCUGUAAGUUUCAAAAUGAAUGUUGAUAUUAAUUUCAAUGACUUGUAUUUUUGCUGUGUAGAAAAAUGUAUGAAAUAAAUUUGCUGGUAUGGUA